GACGAACGCUGGCGGCGUGCUUAACACAUGCAAGUCGAACGGAAAGGCCCUGCUUUUGUGGGGUGCUCGAGUGGCGAACGGGUGAGUAACACGUGAGUAACCUGCCCUUGACUUUGGGAUAACUUCAGGAAACUGGGGCUAAUACCGGAUAGGAGCUCCUGCUGCAUGGUGGGGGUUGGAAAGUUUCGGCGGUUGGGGAUGGACUCGCGGCUUAUCAGCUUGUUGGUGGGGUAGUGGCUUACCAAGGCUUUGACGGGUAGCCGGCCUGAGAGGGUGACCGGGCACAUUGGGACUGAGAUACGGCCCAGACUCCUACGGGGGGGAGGAGUGGGGAAUAUUGGACAAUGGGGGGGAGCCUGAUGCCGCAACGCCGGGGGGGGGAUGGAGGGCUUUGGGUUGUAAAACCCUUUCGCCUGUGAAGAAGGGGGAGUGACGGUAAUGGGUAAAGAAGCACCGGCUAACUACGUG
rnacentral:rRNA from 1 species